GGGAGGUGGUUGUUUGGUUUUCGCCUGCGUGAUGAAUUAAUCACGCGUACUGUCUCUUUAGAAGAUCUUGCAACAGGGAAGGAGGAAGAAGUUCUUGGGGUACUUCAUCGAGGUGCGGUACAUGAGGUGAUACGAGUUCAGAUCUCAGAAGCUAAACCUGAAUGCACAUCCUGGUCAUUCCAGAACGUACAAAAUGCUAACUAGUAAAUAUUAGUAUUAUAUCUAUCAUUUUGUAAAUAUUUCACCUAAACUCCUUGUUAAGACGUGAAUAAUGAACUCUCUUACAAUCUAUCCUUUUAUAUUUAUGUUGUUGUGAAUAAUGAAAUCUCUCAG
rnacentral:misc_RNA from 1 species